CCUACGGGAGUCAGCAGUGAGGAAUAUUGGUCAAUGGGCGUAAGUCUGAACCAGCCAAGUCGCGUGAGGGAUGAAGGCUCUAUGGAUUGUAAACCUCUUUUAUAAGGGAAUAAAGUGCGGGACGUGUCCCGUUUUGCAUGUACCUUAUGAAUAAGGAUCGGCUAACUCCGUGCCAGCAGCCGCGGUAAUACGGAGGAUCCGAGCGUUAUCCGGAUUUAUUGGGUUUAAAGGGUGCGUAGACGGCUUUUUAAGUCAGCGGUGAAAGUCUGUGGCUCAACCAUAGAAUUGCCGUUGAAACUGGGAGGCUUGAGUAUGUUUGAGGUAGGCGGAAUGCGUGGUGUAGCGGUGAAAUGCUUAGAUACCACGCAGAACCCCGAUUGCGAAGGCAGCCUGCCAAGCCAUGACUGACGCUGAUGCACGAAAGCGUGGGGAUCAAACAGGAUUAGAUACCCGUGUAGUC
rnacentral:rRNA from 1 species